rnacentral:rRNA from 1 species
GGGAGGCAGCAGUGGGGAAUUUUGGACAAUGGGCGCAAGCCUGAUCCAGCAAUGCCGCGUGCAGGACGAAGGCCUUCGGGUUGUAAACUGCUUUUGUACGGAACGAAACAGUUCUCUCUAAUACAGGGAGCUAAUGACGGUACCGUAAGAAUAAGCACCGGCUAACUACGUGCCAGCAGCCGCGGUAAUACGUAGGGUGCAAGCGUUAAUCGGAAUUACUGGGCGUAAAGCGUGCGCAGGCGGUCUUUUAAGACAGAUGUGAAAUCCCCGGGCUUAACCUGGGAACUGCAUUUGUGACUGAAAGGCUGGAGUACGGCAGAGGGGGAUGGAAUUCCGCGUGUAGCAGUGAAAUGCGUAGAUAUGCGGAGGAACACCGAUGGCGAAGGCAGUCCCCUGGGCCUGUACUGACGCUCAUGCACGAAAGCGUGGGGAGCAAACAGGAUUAGAUACCCUGGU